rnacentral:lncRNA from 1 species
UAUUGAUUUACAAUCACCCAGCUUAUGGAUCUGCAAUCACCAGCUCACUGAUUCAUAAUAACCAGCUUAUUGAUUUGCAAUCACCAGCGUAUUGAUCGAUUCGCAAUCCCCAUCCGGCCGCUCCCACCGCAGCCCCAUCCCAGCCGGGGCGGGCGCCAAGCCCGCGGCUCACCGGGCGCCGCUUGCGACACCGGGGCAGAUCCGGCCGGGCCCAUCCUGUCCCCUCCCAGCAGAGCCAGCAGCACUGUCUGUGUGUCUGUCCGUCCGUCUGUCUCGCACAGCCAUGGGCCCGGCACUCGCGGCCGUCCUGGCGCUGGCUGCGCUGCUCCCCGCGGAUGCGCUGCCCUGCGGAGCGCAGCGCCCGGACAGCGACACGGCAUCCAAGCUGCCCGGGACCUGGCUGUACGUGGCAGGGGCUGCCCAGUUCCCCCAGCACCAGGUGGAGAUGCUGCUCAUCGACCACGCCUUGCUGCGCCUGGAGCCGGGGCCCGGCGGGCAGGAGCUGCUCAUCAGCCACUUCGUGGCCGUCGGGGACCAAUGUUAUACCCACAACCUGACCUACCUGGAAGUCACUGCCGGUAACGCCUCCCUGGUGAAGAACGCCGUGACCCAGCAGACUGAGGGGAUGCUGAUGAACACAAGCUCUGAAAACCUUUUACUCAUCCAGUACCAAAUGCAGAGGGAAAGGACCUAUUUGGGGCAGUAUCUCUACGCCAGGAACCUGAGCCUGAGCACGGCAGAGCGGGAGGAAUUCGAGCAGCACGCCGAGUGCCUGGGGCUGAGGGCAGAGCAGAUCGUGUACGCGCCCUGGAAAACGGAGGUGUGUCAAGUGAAAGCAGCUGAAGGCAGCAGCAGCCCCCACCCAGAGCCCGGGGCUGCAGCCACAGCAUCCCCUGCCCCAGGCACCCCCUGGCCUGGCAGUGCAGGGAACUGACCCCACACAGGCCAAUAAACCUUUCCUUCAAAUUAAACA